UGCUUAUUGUUUUAGACACAGACAUGUUUUCUAGGAUUAUCGAGUUAUUUACAGGGAAAACAGAGUGCAUGGAGAGAUGAGAGAGAGAAAAAAAUGAUAUUAGGACUUCUUUCUUGUUAUAAAUAUGCAAAAUAAAUAAUCUGGUGUAAAGCAGAGAGAGUAAGCCCUGAGCCAGUACUGGGGAACUUCCUGGAGAAGCUGUGCUUGGGUCAGACCUUCUAGGAGCAGGACUUAUGGUCUGAAACAUCUGGACUUUUAAAGAAGGGACCAAGCGUCAAGAAUAUCUGAUGAAUAUUUGGCAGACAGCCAGAAAUUGACAAGCAUGCAGUUAGUUUGCUAUGAGUUCCUUAAUUUCACUCUGAAUGAGAAAGAUAUCCAAUAGGAGCCACACAGAUAAAUCUUCGACUCUCAGGGGUCUGCUGGGAAGGCAUCAUGCCAACCUUCCACCAUCAAUGAGCAAGUUCAGCAGAUUAAGAAGUAGGAGAAACUGACUAUUGAGCUCAAGAAGAAAACCUAAAAGCAGAAGCUGUGUUUGAAUAACAGACGAGAUAUGGCAAGCAGUGUGUGAGCUCUCAUCCUGGAUUUUAAUAGACAGAGAUGCAUUUUCUGUCCUCAGAGGAACACAGAAAGGUGGUCAGCUACAGAAGCACAGUAACUUAAACUUAGAUAAGUAAAAUUUUGUUUUUUAUUUAUUUUAAAGAUUUAUUUUAUUUGAUUUUUAUGAGUAUACUGUACCUGUCAGACUCACCAGACUCACCUGCCAUUAUGAAUGGUUGGAUGCCACGAUGAGUACACUUGGAAUUGAACUCAUAACAUUUGGAAAGACAGGCAGUGUUCUUAAAUGCUGAAUAAACUUCCUAGUCUAAACUACUACUACUACUACUACUACUACUACUACUACUAC